UCUCCGUUGGUGAACCAGCGGAGGGAUCAUUACAGGACUCGCAAGACUCCUUCACCCUGUGAACCUCACUACAAGCACAUUGCUUCGGCGGGUGUACCGGCGGGGGUUUUCACUCGCCGGGGCGCACAGCCCGACGGCAGACUACUAUACUCUGUCUCUUUGCGUUGGCAUCUCGAGAAAAAACAAACAAGUUAAAACUUUCAACAACGGAUCUCUUGGUUCUG
rnacentral:misc_RNA from 1 species